rnacentral:rRNA from 1 species
AGCAGUAGCCGCGGUAAGACAGAGGAUGCAAGCGUUAUCCGGAAUGAUUGGGCGUAAAGCGUCUGUAGGUGGCUUUUCAAGUCCGUUGUGAAAGCCCUGGGCUCAACCUGGGAAUUGCAGUGGAUACUGGGUCACUAGAGUGUGGUAGAGGAUAGUGGAAUUUCCGGUGUAGCAGUGAAAUGCGUAGAGAUCGGAAGGAACAUCUGUGGCGAAGGCGACUAUCUGGGCCAACACUGACACUGAGGCACGAAAGCGUGGGGAGCAAACAGGAUUAGAUACCCCAGUAGUCCCUGUCUCUUAUAC